AGAGAAAGCUUACAUGUUAAAGCCUUUGCUGGCCACUGUCAAUUACUAUUCUCCGACGUCUUGGCCACUUUUGGCACAAACGCGUAUAGAAUCAGUGUAUAAAAAAGAAGAAGACGCAUUCGGUCGCAGCCUCAGACCGGGUGACCGUGGCGUUGCCAGCAGCCAGUGGGCCCCGCUCGCUGCGCAAGGGGUGACGGCCAAUCUUCGGCAACAACUGGGCCCAGACCACGGUUAAAAAGCAUCGGGUUAUCAUCAUGGAUCUCAUCGGUAUCAUAUACGCUCUGGGCUGGGCAAGCUUCACGUUGUGGGCCCCGCCACGCGUGCUCUGGGUGAUUGGCUUCCAAAGGAGUGGCGUGAGGUCAGGAUCCAUCGCCGCGUUGCUGCAGGCGCAUUACAAAGGCGCUGUACCCAAGAAGGGAUGCUUCGCCAUGAUGCAGCAGUUCGCCGUGACGGGAAUUCCAUGGUUCGUCGAGAUCCCCGCCGCCGGCUUGGUAGCGUUCGUCAGUUACACGGCACGGACUGCGUCUUAGAGGCUUCGCUGAGCCGAUGAAGUGGAUUGACGAUCUUGGGUCCUUCCUGGCGAUACGGAACCACGACAAGCAUCAGGCAGUCGUGUACACGUUCCGCUUCUGAUAAAUUAAACUGAAAGCGGAGAAAAAGAGCAUCCAGGGACUGCAACUUCUAUAUCCUUGCAAUGGCUGGCACCCCGACGAGUACAGGUGCGAUUUGCCGAAUUCACCGUUAAAUUCAACAGCUGGCCAUCUCAUGAAGCCUGGCGGCUCUAACGCGUCUCGCGCUGAUCGCGCGUCACGUGAGCGUGCACAGAGGAGAACGACGCCAUCGGCCGCAGCCCGGUGCGGGGCGACCGAGAGGAGGCCAUAGGUUCCUGCAAUUGGCACCGGCAUUCCACCCCCCACCACCGCAUCCCCCAAGGAACGCGCCAGCACUCGCAAGUCACGGCUGAUUCCGAUACGAUCUGAUUCAUCUGCAUCACAGGACUUCCAGGAACGAAUUCGAUUGUCGCCUUCCGCAGAAACUCCGCAGCAUCAGUCAACAAGCUACCUCACCUGAACCGGCUGUAGACGCGCCUUCCGGUAACCGCAAUGCUUACCCUCAUCAGAUUGAUCAUUGGUGUGCUUGUCGGCUAUGUCAGCACAAUGCUCACACCGUGGCUACUCAACAAGGCUGGCUUCGGGAAGACAGGCGUGAAGCCAGCGACGUUGGCCGCCCAUCUCCAGGCGCGCCACAAGGGUGUCAUACCGAGGAACGGGUACUUCGCAGCGCUACAGCAGUGGGGCAUGGCGGGCCCGCCGGCAGUCUACACCUUCAUGAUCUUCGUCGUCAUGGCGUACACGGCCUACUCUCUUGUGUAGGGAGCUCAGCUGAAGAGCUGGCAUCAUCCAAGGGCCCUUUCGUUCCCGGGCCGGGGCUGCAGCACCCUACACAUUGUCACCUGGGUGCCCUUCAAGCCGUGCAAAUUGAAACUCGGGCAGAAUAAAUCUAAGAGGCAACCCAA